CCCGCCACUGUUACCCCCCGCAAAACUCAAGAACUCCUCCUCUCUCUCAACAAGCCCCACUCUAAGGACCGCCACAAGAAGGUGGAAGGCCGUGGCACCCGUGUACGUAUCCCGGCGGACUGUGCAGCACGUAUCUUCCAACUGACCCGGGAGCUCGGCCACCGCACCAGUGGCCAGACCAUUGAGUGGCUUCUCGACCACGUGCCUGCCUCUCACUUUCCCACCGCCACCACCGCUGCGGCCACCAGUUCUGAUAAUAUAGCAGUUGCAACUAAUUCUACACUCUGUGUUUCGCCUUCAGAAAACAGUAAUGCUGCUUGUAAUUCUGCUAGUUCUUUGCCUCGUUCAAAAAAGAAGAUAUCAGGAUCAAAGAAGAGUAAUACGCCUUUGCAUGAUUCUGUAAAUUCUCGUGCUUCUCUAUCUGGUGGGUUCUUUCCUACUUCUAAUUCUUUGGAUGCUUCAACUUUAUCAGCACCCACAAGAGAAGAAACAGAAAUAGCGAGAAUUCCAAUGGCAGUGGUGGAGCCAGAGAGGAAAAAAGAGGAUUUGAGGGGUGAAUUUGAUUUGUUUCCUGGUGCAGAUGGGAGUUUGCCCAACAUGUCUUUCACUUCCUUGUUGAUGCAGUUGGAGAGGGAGUGAUUAAUGAUGAUGGAUGGGUUCCACAACCUUCUGUUUGAUUUUUAUUUUUUAAAUUGCUCUGCUCUCUGUUCUUAGGUGCAAAUAGGCUAACUUAUAAUCUAGUUUAAGUAUAUAGAAUUGCCAUUCUUGGCCUUUUUCUGUGUUGGAUAACUUAGUAACAUGUAGUAGUUUAUGGGGAUGAAAAGUUUACCCUUUUUGGUCUGUUGAUAAUUGAUCUUGUAGCCCUGGUUGUAGCUUUUUUUAAUAGUGCUUUUGAUUCUCCAGACAAAUAUACAUAUUAUUAAGUUGAAGAAUAUCUGUGGAAAUCAAUGUGAAGAUCUCAAAUUUGCAGACUCGUGUAUUUCAUGGAAUCUGGUUAAUAGUCUAUUCACUGCUCUGUUGAAACAGCUGAGAAGUUGUUGAGAUCUUGUAGCAUGCAAGAAUGUGUUCAAGUUAGAGGAGAUCAUUACGAGAAGUAAAAUUCUACAUCUUCUGGUUCUUUAACCGCAGAGGAAGGAUGCAUAUUAAUUUGAAGAUGAAUCAUAGAUCGAAUUGAACUGGCUUACACAUACAUAUUCUCUGUAAUAAUAAUUAUCUUAAUUUCCAACAACUGGAUGAAAAAAACUUACCGUCAUUGCUGUUGUGAGGUUAAGCAGAUAGGAUAGUAUUUGCAGAUGAAUCUAUAUUGCUUUACUAGGAAAAUUAAUCUAUAUGAGGACAUUCAUUGUCUUAACUUUCUAACUUGAUGGGCAAAUCAAUAUAAGACCAGAAG
rnacentral:misc_RNA from 1 species